AGCUCCAAUAGCGUAUAUUUAAGUUGUUGCAGUUAAAAAGCUCGUAGUUGGAUUUCGGGCGAUGUCGGCCGGUCCGCCGUUGCGGUGUGCACUGGCUGGCGCCGUCUUCUUGUCGAGGACGCGGUUCUGGCCUCGUUGGCUAGGGCGCGGAGUCGGCGCGGUUACUUUGAAAAAAUUAGAGUGUUCAAGCGGGCUAACGC
rnacentral:rRNA from 1 species